CGUGUGUGAAGAAGGCUUUCGGGUUGUAAAGCACUUUCAGCAGUGAGGAAGGCGGGUACGUUAAUAGCGUAUUCGUUUGACGUUAGCUGCAGAAGAAGCACCGGCUAACUCCGUGCCAGCAGCCGCGGUAAUACGGAGGGUGCGAGCGUUAAUCGGAAUUACUGGGCGUAAAGCGCAUGCAGGUGGUUCGUUAAGUCAGAUGUGAAAGCCCGGGGCUCAACCUCGGAACUGCAUUUGAAACUGGCGGACUAGAGUACUGUAGAGGGGGGUAGAAUUUCAGGUGUAGCGGUGAAAUGCGUAGAGAUCUGAAGGAAUACCGGUGGCGAAGGCGGCCCCCUGGACAGAUACUGACACUCAGAUGCGAAAGCGUGGGGAGCAAACAGGAUUAGAUACCCUGGUAGUCCACGCCGUAAACGAUGUCUACUUGGAGGUUGUGGCCUUGAGCCGUGGCUUUCGGAGCUAACGCGUUAAGUAGACCGCCUGGGGAGUACGGUCGCAAGAUUAAAACUCAAAUGAAUUGACGGGGGCCCGCACAAGCGGUGGAGCAUGUGGUUUAAUUCGAUGCAACGCGAAGAACCUUACCUACUCUUGACAUCCAGAGAAGCCAGCGGAGACGCAGGUGUGCCUUCGGGAGCUCUGAGACAGGUGCUGCAUGGCUGUCGUCAGCUCGUGUUGUGAAAUGUUGGGUUAAGUCCCGCGACGAGCGCAACCCUUAUCCUUGUUUGCCAGCGAGUAAUGUCGGGAACUCCAGGGGAGACUGCCGGUGAUAAACCGGAGGAAAGUGGGGA
rnacentral:rRNA from 1 species